GGAAACCAUGGAAACGAGGAAACCUCUUCAACUGACAAACAGCAAAAAAUAGCGUCUCCCUGUUUUUCCACUGCUUUCAGUCUAGAAAAUCACCAUGAUGUCCUGCUACAGCCCUGUCCCAAGACAACCUCCACGGCUAUGAACUCGACUAAUGAGAUAUCAUUUGACCCUGUGAUUCUUCAGGACCAGAUCUUGAUGCCAUCCACACCCAGUACAUGACAAAGAUGCUGUGACAAAAAGCAGUCAAGCCACUGCAUGUGAUGUGGAAGCCUCUAUGAAGACAUGGCUCCGUAAUCCCUGGGACAGAGAUGGGGGACGGCAAGGAAGGGCCAGAACUGCAGAAAUACCUACUGUUUCCCCUGAGGGGAUUGAUUUUUAAUUUUCAAUCCCCUGUUUUCUGUGGUUAUUGCCGUUUUAAACUGUAUUAUCAUUAAUUAUAAUUAUUAUUAAAUAUAAAUAAAUUAUU